rnacentral:lncRNA from 1 species
AAUUGAGCCAUGGUGUCGCAGGUGACUUUCCCGUGCCCACUGAAGCGAUGCGAAGC